rnacentral:piRNA from 1 species
UGUCGCAUCGUGUACAAGAUAGG